rnacentral:tRNA from 1 species
GGGCGUGUGGUCUAGUGGUAUGAUUCUCGCUUUGGGUAACUUCUCGAAUAACGAGAAGCAAAUCAUGCGAGAGGCCCUGGGUUCAAUUCCCAGCUCGCCCC